UUAUUAUAAGAAAAUUAAAAGAAACUUGUGUCUAUUAUAAGUUCAAUUGUAUAUAUAAUUUUUUAGAUAAAGAAAUAGAUGUCGAAGAAACCUAAGCAAACUUAUGAAUUAUCGAAUUGAUUUUUUCAGCAAUCUAUAAAGGUUUUUUCAGUGUUACUAUUUUUGGAUUCAUUGCCAAUCAAAGUAGUGCUUUUAAUAUUAACAGAUGAACUCUUUCUAGUAUGUCUCCUUGUCAAUAGUUUGUUGUAUGAUUAUGUUAAUUUAAUGAAUACAAUUUUAAAAAUGUAUUCUACAAAAUUAAGCAAAGCUCAGACGGAAGCCAAAGAUGCAAAUGGUUUUGGCGGUACACAUCCUGAUUCAAAAUACCCAUGUAACUUUUUAUUGAAUUAGAAAUAUAAUACUUUUCAUAUUAAGAAUGUAAA